rnacentral:rRNA from 1 species
UACGUAGGGUGCAAGCGUUGUCCGGAAUUAUUGGGCGUAAAGAGCUUGUAGGCGGUUUGUCGCGUCUGCUGUGAAAUUUCGGGGCUCAAGCCCCGAACCUUGCAGUGGGUACGGGCAGACUAGAGUGUGGUAGGGGAGACUGGAAUUCCUGGUGUAGCGGUGAAAUGCGCAGAUAUCAGGAGGAACACCGGUAGCGGAAGGCGGGUCUCUGGGCAACACAGACGCUGAGGAGCGAAAGCAUGGGGAGCGAACAGG